rnacentral:lncRNA from 1 species
AUCAGACCAAACUGGAUCGGUUAAAUAGUAUCGGUUCCGAUUCCGGUUUGAGGUGAGAACCGGACCACACCCACCCCUAACUUUUGUUAGGGCUGGAUGGAAUCUAGGCGAAGUGAGACAACAUAUGGAGUUUCAUAGAGGAAAGUAAGAAAGAGUUUCGGGAGGGAAUUUGAGACUGAAAUUGAGUUACAUGAGGCAUUUCAAUAAUUUAGCCUUAAAAGAACGAUAGGUUUUGUUGACAUAAAUUCCAACUUUUUUUUUAUUCUAUGAAAACAUAGUUAUAUAUAUCUUCCUAACAACCUCCACCUCCACCUCCACAACCUCCGCCUCCACUGCCUCUGCCUCCGUAUCUUUUCUUGCUUGAUCCUUCAUCAUCACCACAAGCAAAUAUGACCAUUGAUAUAAGUGAGAGAGACAAAAGAAUCAUGCAGAGCAAAAAUAUCCCCCCCGAGUUGUCUUGCAUGAUGCCUAGUUCCUCUGCAUGGCCACCACCUAGAACAACAUAUGUUCCUCUGGCCAUUUUUGCGAUGAGUUACAAUAUUAGCUAGCUGUUCGUUAGUCCAAGCACAUAUAUAUUUAUAAUGUAAUGUCAGCAAAUGCCGUGUGCAAUUCCAAGUCUUAUGUUGACAAUUCUAGCUGAUGUUGAAAGGCUUGAAGAGACAAACAGGAACUUGCGAAAAUUUUCAAAGAGAAAGGGAUAGCUAGCUAGAUUGAGAUCUACAGGCAAUAAUUGCUGCAAGCCUUAUGUUUUGCCUCGGGAAAAUGCUAAGAAGAUCAGAUCCUUAAUUGUGUACAAGAAAAAUACUUGCGUCCACUCCAGAUUCUAUCUCCACCCCAUUGACAUUGACCAAUGAUAUUUUUGUACAUGUCUUUUCUUUUAAAUUUUUGGGUUUUUAUCACAAUGGUCCCUAAUGUUGGCGAAAUUAUCACAUUUGAUCCUUUAUGUUUUUUUUUUUUUUUGACAUUAUUGGUCAUUUAUGUUACACCUCACACAUCAAUUUGGUUAUGCUAUUAGAUUCCGUCAAAAAUUUUGAGAAAAAUUAGGUAUUAGAUAUAACUAUCCUUAUUAAUUAGUAUUUGAGACAGACAGUAUUUCUAUUUGGGUUUUAAUACUUAGGAAUUGAAUUUUAUUUUGAAUUUGACUAAGAGCAUCUCCACCCAUAAGGGCUAAGUCUAGGGCAAGGGCAAGCAAGGGCUGCCACUAUUCACAUGAAUAGUGUCAGCCUUGCCAUUUGUGGUUCCACCUAUGAGGGCUAAGUCUAAGGCAAUUACUAUUUACUUAAAUUUAUUUUUUAUUUUUUUAUACUUAAACCAUUGAUUUUGAUCAGCUUUUCGGAUAAGAUUUUCGAUUCCCAAGCGUUAAUAUUUAUCGUAAAAUUAUCACCUAAAAAUCAAGAUAACAUUUUCGGAUAAAAUUUUAAAAUUAAAUUUGGUGUGGAAAGUGAAUAAUAUUGGUAGGUAUGUAUAGAAAAAUUUUCCUGAUUUUUUUGAUUUUUUUUUCAAUUUUUUUUAGCCAAAAAUUGGACAACCGUUGGAUUGUGCAAGAUUUUUUUAUCGGAGGCUCCAGGAGAAGCCACGUGGCUUGUAACCAUUGGGCAAUGUGCGCUGGUGGGUCCAACAAUAAAAAAAUAUUUGAAAAUAGCUGCUGACGUCAGCAGCCCUCGGGCAACAGCCCAAUUAAUUUCUGCCUGUGGACUUGCCGGGCUGGUGGGUCCCAUGCCUUGCUUGGGCUAGAUUUUAUGUGCUGGAGCCGCAUUGGGCUUGCCAUGGGGGCCUUUUGCCCAGUUUGAUAGCAGCGCUGGAGCUGCUCUAAAGAUGAGGCCAAAUUCUUGAAGUCCUUCUGUGGUACAUCAGUUGUACUGGUACAGCCACUCACAUGGGGGUGUUUUUAAAACAAGGGAAAACGGUUGUGUUGGUUAACAGGUUAAAAGCAAGGGGAAAAAUUGACGCCCCUCCUUCACGGUACUCCUUCCCCUUCUUCUUCUUCCUAAUACCUCACCUACCCUUCUUUCUAGUUCAUUUUCUUUCUGUUUGGCUCAAUUCUAACAUAGUAUCAUGACUGAUUUCUCUUAUUCACAUGCUUAAAUCUUGAGAACCUCUUCUUAGAAAUUCCAAAUUUAUUUGAUUUCUUCUAUUUCCCCAAAUCUGAUUCACCUUUGAUUCAUUAAACUUCAACUAUUAUUUAUUAUGGCUUGUACUAAACCUCUAAUUGCGGCCCUUCUACUAAAUCCAAAUGGAGCAGAUGUACACAAAGUUGCAGUCAUGAACUGAUGAAACUUCCUUCUCCUGCGAAAUAUGUGAAAAAUGCAGAAGCUGGGAUGGGUUUGAUUGAUUUUUGGGUUUAAUUGAUUUUUCAUGUUCGGGUUUGAUGAAGCUGUGUUUGAUUCUUGAUGUCUUGGUUUGAUUGAUUUUUGAUGUUUGUGUUUCUUUUAGACGGGAAGAGAGAGAGAGAGAGAGAGAGAGAGAGAGAGAGAGAGAGAGAGAGCUGAGGGAAUGGGGGAGAAGGAGAGGUGUCGGGAAGGGAAGGAGGGGAUGGGUUAGCUAUUUUUGCAUUUUUGCAUCAUGGUACGUGUAAUUGCAUGGUCUUUUUACAAUUAUCCAAUUAUUAUCAGUAAUACAUGUAAGUUCAUAGUAUGUCUUGAAAUUUUAUAUGCAAUUAUUUACAAUGGAUGUGCAAUUGCACAACAAUUCUAAGACAUGCAUUAACAACUGAAACAUCGACAAAGGCGUAGUCUCUUUGAAAUUCCUUCCACUAUUUGGAAAUUGCAUGGUUGUCAAUACAAAUGCUAACGACACAAAUUACGUUCAAUUACACAUUACUCAUAUCGCAAUUGAAUUUGUAACUUACAUCCUAAAGUCGAUAAGUAUAAGAAAUUGCUAUUACACUUCAUAACUGAGACCCUAAAGCCUAAUAAGCAUAUAAUUUAAAUUAAUAAAAAAACCCCUUAAAUAUCAACAUACCAUCCAUAAGUAUCACUAAUAAUCCUAUCGCUCAAAAUAAGUGACCGAUUAAUUGGUUCUCCAUUUUUCUUGGCAAAAAAAACUGGUUCUCUUUUUUAAUUGUUAUGUAUACUAUAUACUCAUUAAAAUAUUAUAUUUGACUAAAAGAAAUUAAAAUAUUAUAUAAUAAUAUAUAGAUACCCUUAGAAAAGAAUAAUUAGACUAUCUAUAUUAUAUUUAGACCAAAAAAAUAAAAUGAAUAUAACUAAUGUAGGGUUUAACAUUGCAAUUGAGAGCCAUACUGUAAAUCUAAGCUAUUUACUCGAGACCUAAAUCCAAUUUCUUCACCUCACAGAGGUAAGGCCACGGAUUAAAAUAUCAACCAUGCAAAUAAUAUCGGGCCUCCAAUUUACGGAUAUUUCAGGAGAUAUAUUGUUAUCGUUUUAGGUAUUGGAAAAAAAAAAAAAAAAAAAGAAGACAGAUAUAGGCAUUGAAACACAUAAUUUUGGUAUAAAACUUUCAUAAAUGUUAUGUACAUUAUCAAUGAAUGUAUUGAACAAAUAAAACUCAAAAUUUACUAAUAAUAAGAUAUACAUAUGAUGAAAUAUAAGUGGUAUGUAAUGCGUGUUAAUGAAAAAUUUGAAAAUAAAAUGUUGAUUAGAAUGGAUAAACCAUACAUAAAUCCAUAGUUUGUUUUAACAUUGGAUUACAAUUUAGAUAAGUGUCCAUCUACAUAAAUGAAGAGCUCCAAUGAGGUUCAAACAAUGAGGAACAACCAUCUAGAUUCAUACAAUAGUCAUACCAAGUCACGUAACCCAAGCAGUUUGUAAGCCAUGUUUGAACAUGGUGCACAUAGGUCUCUCUUGAGCUCCCUACUAUCUUCCCAUAUAUGAGAUAAUUAAGAUUAACCCAACUAGUAGGAAAGGGCGGCUCUGAAAUAGUGCAAGUGGCGGCAAUGCACAGGGCCCCUGAUUUUUGAGGACCCCUUAAAUUUUUUUAUUUUACAUAAUUUAUAUUAAUAUUAUAACAACUGUAUAUGUAAUAACCCAAACCUAAAUUAAUAUUUAAUUAUUAAUUUAUUAAGAAGAAAAGACAAUUUUGCCCUUUGAAUAAUUUAUUAAAGAAAAGUUGACUUUUUGACCGAGAAGGAAUUUGACACUUCCACACACACACCGUUGCGUAGAGCACGACGAAACGAGUUCGUAGACACUAAGUGGGCUCAAAUAGGAGCUUUAACGAAGAAAAUACGGUUAAAAUACUCUGAGGGGCAAAACAGUAAUUUAAAAAAAUCAGAUUUUAAAACCUCAUUGUCUCUCUUCUCCCUCAGUCUCUCUCUCUCUCUCCCUCCCCGAGCGCUCUCUCCCUCACUGCGACAAAACACCCCCUGAUCGGAUUUUGCGGUGCCGUCGCCACCACCGACCACCGUUCACGUCGGGAUCAGGCCCGAUCGAACCGCCGUCGAGCCCCCGUCCUUUCCCGACCAGCCCCACCCCUGGAACCGCCGGAUUCCGUCGGAAAAAGCUCAGAAUCGUGCCGGUUUUGACAGAAACUUCGCCGGCUGCGUUCGUCGUCGUCCGGCCACCAUUUCCGACGAUCUAGGUAUGGAUUCUGAACCUCUCGAGCUGUUCUAGCUGCCUGUUAGGUAGGAUUCAAUCGAUUCUUAGCGUAGGUAGUUCGAUUUGCGAAUUGAAAUUCGGUCAGUUUUGAAAUCUCUAUUCCGGUCACUUCCAGUCAGUUUUUGGGGUAGGUCCAAGAACAAAAGCAGCUCCAAAUAGGGUGUUAUACUUAGGGUAGGAGUUUGGAGUUGUGGUUUUGAGAUUUUCUGGCGAUACGUAAUCGCUUUGGGCACCCAGCGCGUGUGGCAGCGCGUGGGAGAGUGUAGUGAAGUUGCACUGUGUCUCGAUGAGAUCCUUAGGUUGUCACGAGAGUGUAGGAAUUUGCGAAUCUCAAUUUGGAUACCGUUUGAGCCUCGAACGGAUUGUUGCAUAUUGUGCGAUUUCCUGGUUCAAUAUUGUUGAGCUAUUGGAUCUUAAUCUUUUUCAAAUAUGUUACUCUAGGCAAUUUCAGAAUCGUUUAGGAUUUGACGGAUCUUGAAUCAGAGUCCCAGAUACUCCGAAAUCGCGAACCUUAGGGCUAGGGUUUAGAAAUCGUGCGAUUGUACGAUCGAGACCAAACCCUCGGGACAUGUGUUCUAGGUAUAUUGGAACUUCUAGAGGCUUCCGGAUCAUAAUUGCGAGGUCAUGGACCCACGGGGUCCCGGGUUGACUUUUUGGGACUUUAGCCUUUUUUUGAGUCUGAAGAUACUGCUAAACUCUUCUAUGUGGAAGGAAAGCUUUUUUUGGGCAUAGGAACAACUUUAAUUUGACGCACGUACUUCUAAGGGCCGGGGUCAGGAUUUUUAAAUUAAUACUAUAUUGCGUAUUGUAUUAAUAGAAUAUUAUGGUAAUUGAAUCAGGCACCAGGGCACCAGUUGACCCGCAGGAGGGACCUUCAAGAGGUCCAGCGAGCACGAACCAUCUGUGAGUGGACUCUUUGUUUUUAUAAAUGAAUUUAAGCAGUUUAGUUACAGUAUUUGAUCUUGAAUAAGUUUUAUUCAAAUAUUAGCGUUUUAUAAGCUGUUAUAUGCUUUUAAAUAUUUUGUUUUGCAUGUUGUCGAGUGAAAUCUCAUUUAAAGGAUAUAUGAAAAGAAAUUCUAGUUAAUUAUCAGAUAAAUGGCAGCAGAGUUUUAGAGUUUACAGAAAUUCAGUUAUUCAGCAUAUUUUCUUUAGAAACUUUAUAUUUUCUUAAACCACCUUGUACCCAGAUAUACAAAUGUUUCCUUCAAAUCAAAUGUUGCCUUCCGAUUUUAUUGGUAGCCUUCGGUUUAGUCAACAUGCUUGACAGUUGCCCCACGAGUUCUAUGGUACCUGAACUCGUGUGGAGUGAGUAAUGCGGAUCAGGCUGACUACGGUCCCCUGAAUCCUACUAGUUGCGGCUCGAACUGACCUUGUGUCAUUGAGACCUGCGAGUACGUGUCACCCAUGGUGAUGCAAGGAAUUGACGGAUAUAAGGAAUUGACGGAAAUAAGGGGUACACCUAGGUGGUAGUUUUACACUGUUUUCAAUGCCCUAGGAAAUUAAUGUUGGCCAUGAAUAUGAUUGGCAUAUAUAUAUGUAUAAUUAUAUGAGUGUAUUGAUUUCAGUACGAAUAUAAUAAAGAGACUAAUUUAGUUUGUAUAACUGUUUUUACAGUGGGGUUAGUAUGUUCUUAUGUAUUUUUCUAAACUUGUUUGUUUUGGGUCCACUCACCCUUUUUACUGUUUUGCGCCCCCAGGCAGUAGGCGUGCACAGGGAUCCACCAUCGGGUCGUUUUCCACCUUCCGCGCUUUCCUUUUUGAUGUAGGAUUUUUGUUUUGUAAAAGGAUUGACUUCUUUGUAAAUUCUUAGUAGUCGCUCUGAUAAUUAGCCCUAGACUUAGAAUUUAACUGUUGGAAUGUAUAUAUACGUAUGCUGGCAGUUGGUUAUGUAUAUAUGCUUGUUUGGCAAAUGUAAAUGUUUUGGUAUUGAUCCAAUUUACAAGGGAGACUCUACUGAUUUUUCGGCAGAAAUCAAUCUUGUUAUUUUAUCGUGCUUUGUAGGGAAGGACAAGUAGGUCAUUAGUGCCCGACAUCCGCCAGGUGUCGGACAAGCACAGGGUCCGGCUCGGAUUCCAAAACAGAAUUUGGGUCGGGUCUUGUUAGUAUAUAUACUCCAACGUGCAACAAAUUGACACAAAAAUUUAUUUAGUAGAGUUGGUUUCUAGUGUAUAUCCCUUGGUACAAGGCUUACGUGAAAAAUUUUAAGAACAAAAUUUUAAAUAGUUUUAAAAAAGAAGUACGUGAAAAAUAUAAGGGGAAAGAUCCAAUUAAAUUAACAAUAGUAUAUAUCACACCCAUACGCUUUUUCUUUAAAAAAUAAUAAUAAUAAUUUCUUCGACUCAAAACAAAACAAAACAACAUAAAAAAUAAAAAAAUCAUGUCUUCUUCUUUCUCAUGAACUCUUAUUUUUUUUUUACCUAACAUACAAACAUUUAACUUUAUCAAAUGAAUGCAACAUACUCAACGAACGCAACCCUUGCGUUCGCGUGAAAAAAUAGUGCGUUUGUUUGAAAAACAAAGUUAGUGAGGUCUAUUUUCCUGGGGAACGGGCAACUUUACUCAACGAACACACUCCUUACGUUCGCAUGAAUAAAUAUCCCGUUUGUUUGAAAAAGUAAGUUCAUUUAGCCUAUUUUUCUAGGGAACAGACAACUUUACUCAACGAAUGCAACCCCAACGUUCGCGUGAACAAAUAGCCUGUUUGUUUGAAAAAGUAAGUUAGUUGGGCCCAUUUUUCCGGGGAAUGGGCAACUUUACUCAACAAACGCAACCUUUGCGUUUACGUGAACAAAUAGCCUAUUUGUUUGAAAAAUUAAGUUAGUUUGACCUAUUUUUCCGGGGAACGGGCAACUUUACUUAACAAACGCAACCCCUGCGUUCGUGUGAACAAAUAACUUGUUUGUUUGAAAAAGUAAGUUAGUUGAGCCAAUUUUUCAGGAGAACGAGCAACUUUACUUAACAAACGCAACCCCUGUAUUUACAUGAACAAAUAGCCUGUUUGUUUAAAAAAGUAAGUUAGUUUGGCCAUUUUUCCGGGGAAUGGCGAACUUUACUCAACGAACGCAACCCCUGCAUUCGCAUGAACAAAUAGCCUAUUUUCUUGAAAAAGUAAGUUAGUUGGACCCAUUUUUCCAGGGAACGGACAACUUUACUCAACGAACGCAAUCCAUUGCAUUCGCGUGAACAAAUAGCCCGUUUGUUUGAAAAAGUAAGUUAGUUGGGCCCAUUUUUCCGGGGAACGAGCAACUUUACUCAACGAACGCAACCCCUGCGUUUAUGUGAACAAAUAGCCCGUUUGUUUGAAAAAGUAAACAAAUAGCCCGUUUGUUUGAAAAAGUAAGUUAGUUUGGCCCAUUUUUCAAGUGAACGGGCAACUUUACUCAAUGAACGCAACCCCUGUGUUAGCAUGAAAAAAUAGACUGUUUGUUUGAAAAAGUAAGUUAAUUGGGCCCAUUUUUCAGGUGAACGGACAACUUUACUCAACGAACGCAACCCAUUGCGUUCGCGUGAACAAAUAGCCUAUUUGUUUGAAAAAGUAAGUUAGUUGGGCCCAUUUUUCAAGAGAACGAACAACUUUGCUCAACGAACGCAACUCAUUGCGUUCGCGUCAACCAAUAGCCUGUUUGUUUGAAAAAGUAAGUUAGUUAGGCCAAUUUUUCCGAAGAACGAGCAACUUUACUCAACGAACGCAACCCCUGCGUUUACGUGAACAAAUAGCCCAAUUUGUUUGAAAAAGUAAGUUAGUUUGGCCAAUUUUUCUGGGGAACGGGCAACUUUACUCAACGAACGCAACCCCUACAUUUACCUGAACAAAUAGCCCGUUUGUUUGAAAAAGUAAGUUAGUUUGGCCCAUUUUUUCGAAGAACGAGCAACUUUACUCAACAAACGCAACUCCUGCGUUUACGUGAACAAAUAGCCCGUUUGUUUUAAAAAGUAAGUUAGUUGGGCUUAUUUUUCCGGAGAAUGGACAACUUUACUGAACGAACGCAACCCAUUGCGUUCGCGUGAACAAAUAGCCUGUUUGUUUAAAAAAGUAAGUUAGUUGGGCCAAUUUUUCUGAGGAACGGGAAACUUUACUCAACGAACGCAACCCUUGCAUCCGCGUGAACAAAUAGCCCGUUUGUUUGAUAAAGUAAGUUAGUUGGGUCUAUUUUUUCGGGGAACGGGUAACUUUACUCAACGAACACAACUCCUGCAUUUGCGUGAACACAUAACCCGUUUGUUAGAAAAAGUAAGUUAGUUGAGCCCAUUUUUCCAGGAAUGAGAAUCUUUAAUCAAUGAACGCAACCCUUGGGUGCAAGUUCAAGGAUUAAAUCAACAAUUUAGCCAUGUUUAAUGGUUUUUGGGCAUAUAUCGCAUAUUUGAUAGCACAUGUGUGCAAUUCUCAAUAAAUAAUAUGCAUUUGCAUAUACCUGUAUGCAAUUUUGUAGCAUCUAUGUGCAAUUCUUAUUUUACAAUAUGCAAUUGCAUAUAUAGUAUGCAAUUUCGUAACGUCUGUUUGCAAUUCUUAAUUUACAAUAUGCAAUUGGAUUCCGCCCUUCUUUUGGUCUUUAACUUUGUCGUUUUUACUAGAAGGCUCAUCGGCUCACACUCUUAUAAUGUAUGUAAAAAUCACCAAAUUUCUUCUUUUUGGCUAGAGGGCCUCUUUUUUGUGUGUGUUCAUUUGCAAUGACAAUACAGAUAAUCUACUACUACCUAAAAGCUAUAGAAAAUUAAAUGUCAUAUCAUCUAUUUUCUCUAACCAAGACUACAUAUCACAUAAAUAAGAAAUAAGAUCUCAAAAAAGAAACAUAAACAAAGAAAACACUUUACCUAAAAUAUUUUGUAAUACGUUUAGCCCAAUUUUAACUUGUAGAGUACACAAAUGUUAGCCCCUAACUAUGAUAAUUGUUAUCAAUAAAUACAAAGAUGAAUUUAAAUUAGUUCUUGCAUUUGUUUUAAAUUCUUUUCAAUAUGGUCAACUAUGAUAAUUGAUUUAUUUUUGUAAAGGUUAUCAAUGAAUACAAUACAACAUAUGUUACCAAAUUAUUGAAAAAAAGAACUUUUAAGAUCAAUUAAAAGUGAAUAGAAAGAAAAGUAUAAAUAAAAGGUAUACAAAGGUAUCCUUUUAAAAGUUAAUAUUUUCAUUCUACACAACUCAAGACCACUUGCGCCACACGUUAUAUCUUGCUAUAUGAAUUGUCAUAUUAUUGUUUCAUAUAAACACAAGCCCAUAUAAACACCAAUUCUUAAGCCCAUAGGGUUAGCUAACACUACUACAAAAAAGCAAAAAGACGACGGUAAAUCACCGUCGUGUAUUCGAUUUUUCAAUGGUCGUGGAAUCCACCGUCAUCUUUUCCCUCAUAUACCACGACGCUAAAUCCCCGUCGUUGUUAAAAUAUACAACGUCAUCAACAAAUACAAAACGACGUCUUUGUACUGCAAAAAGAUCUAAAAAAGCAGUCGAGGAUGAGAAUAGACGACCAACUCUCUAAAAAAACCGUCGUUAAAAAGGAAAAAUAUGACACAUAUUAAGAGAACAAGGCCGCAAGAUAGACAUACAACGACGGAAAUAAAAAAACGACGCCGUUAAAUAUCAUUUUCACGACAAUAAAAAAUUUGACGUCUUUAAAUACAUUAGAAGACGACGUUAUUGAUACCUACUACGUCGCAUAUAUAAAAACAGUCGUCGUAAAAUUAAUUUUCCACUUCGAUUUUUCGAUAAAAGAUGACGUGGAAAUAGUUGUCAGUGUCAUUAUUUACGACGUAUGUAUUUAUUGAGUAAACGUUGAAAAACGAAACAACGUCGGUUACAAAUAUAUGAGAGUCGUAUUACAAAAUUUAUACGUCAUAUUUUCAGAAAAAAACAACGACGAUAAAUAUUAGACGUUGUUAAAUAAAACAACGUCGGAAAACAAUAAAAACAGACGUGUUUAGUCUGCUAAAGUUCUAGAAAAUAGUCGAGGAUGAGAAUAGACGACCAACUCAAACAAAUCACCGUCGUUAAAAAGGAAAAAUAUAAAAGAACAAAGGCCGCAAGAUAUACAUACAAAGAUGACAACUAAAAUUUUACGCCGUUAAAUAUAAUUUACACGACAAGAAAAAAUAUGACGCCUUUAAAUACAUGAGAAGACGACGUUAUUGAAAUAUACUACGUCUCUUAUUUACAAACAACCGUCGUGAAAUAAAUUUUCCACUUCGAUUUUUCUAAAAAAGAUGACGUGGAAAUAGUUGUCAGUGUCAUUAUUUACGACGUAUGUAUUUAUACAGUUGACGUUGAAAUGCGAAACAACGUCGGUGGCAUUUAUAUAGUCGACGUUGUAUUUAUAUCUAUCAUCAUUACUCACGACGCACUUAAUAAUAUAGACGACGUUGAACUUCUAAACAACGUCGGUCCAAAUAAAANNNNNNNNNNNNNNNNNNNNNNNNNNNNNNNNNNNNNNNNNNNNNNNNNNNNNNNNNNNNNNNNNNNNNNNNNNNNNNNNNNNNNNNNNNNNNNNNNNNNGAGUCGUGUUAUUUGAAUUACAUGGCGGUUCUUAAUCCUUCCCGACGUGAUAUCCUGAAUAAUUGCUUCACAAAUUGCGUCGUGGUUCUUCAUUGUUACGUUGCUUUAAGACGUCGGUAAAUAUGCUGAAUAACUGGUUCACAAUAACGUCGUGUUUUAUUUGAACGUAGAAAGUGAAGAAAUCACAUUACAAUAUAUUACAAAAUUAAUGUCAUACACUGCCAAUUACAUAAGCAUCAUUCAAUCCAUAUAUCUUCACACCCAUCUCGAAUAUUUUGACCGCCUAACUCACCCACCAGUUCAUCAAAUGUGUCAACAUUUGGCAUCCCUCUAGUAAAUGGCUCACACUCAAUUAUCACAUCACCUAAGACUUCAUCACCAAUAACAUCAUUAUAUUCUCUAUUAGGCAUUGAUAACACUACCGACCAACCACGAUGCAUCGGGUCGUCAACAAAAAAUAUUUGUUUGACUUGAGAAGCCAAAACAAAUUGGUCAUUCCUAUGUCCAAUUUUACUCAAAUCUACAAGGGUAAAUCCAAGUUCGUCGACUACAAGACCAGAACUAUCUAUCCAAUCACACCUAAAGACUGGGAUUGUAAACUUUUGGUAGUCAAGGUCCCAAAUUUCUUGAAUGACACCAUAGAAACCCAUAUUUGAGAGAAUUGGGUUUUUAUCCUUGGCACUAGCAACUUGCAUGGUAUGUGCAAGUAAAUAAACUCCACUAUUUUGAGUUGUCCGCACAUCAUCUUGUGCCUUGAUAUUGAAUUUAAUACCUUUAAUAAGAUAGCUCCUAUAUAAUGGCACUGACAUGUUUGGACCAGCUGCUAGCCACCUUAAAUUUUCUGAUACGCCAUGAUUGUCUUCCUCAAGUUCACUUUGAACCUGCGAAUUAAUCAUAUCUUAAUUCAAUCUAACAUAUAAAUAAGAAGAAAAUUAAAAGAGAAAUAUGUUAUUCAACAAUAUAUACCUUGAAGCGUAGCCAUUGAAUGAAAGUGCUAUUGUGCUUAUCCUGCAGCCACUUUGUUCUCUUUCUAAAUUUUGGAUAAGCAGUCUUGAUGUGAAUCAUAUGUUGCCUACAUGACACGAAAAAUUCAAGCAUUACGGUCCUAAAUAUAGAAGAUAAACAUAAGAAAUAAUUUAAAAUGGAAACUUAAAGAAUAAAGCUCAUACGUACUCGAUAUAAGGUAGGACUUCCUCCGUAUUCUCCAAGACAUAUAGAUGUGCUUGAUUCAACAGGUCCUGAUCAACUACGCUCACUGUGCAACCUGAUAAUGGCUUUGAAAGUCCCAUCUUUUGGCUUGAAGGCACUCCAACUGUACUAGCAUCAGAUAAAUGCUGAGUACAACACUCUACCGCUUCUUCAGCUAUAUACCGCUCAGCAAUGCAACCUUCGGGACGAGUACGAUUCUGAACAUACCCCUUCAGCACUUUCAUAUAUCUUUCAAACGGAUACAUCCACCUAAAAUAUACUGGCCCACAUAGACGAACUUCUCUGACAAGAUGUACUACUAAAUGAACCAUGAUAUCAAAGAAUGAAGGGGGAAAGUACUUCUCAAGCAAACACAGAGUAACUACUACAUCUUCUUCCAACUUAUCUAGCUUGGAAACAUCAACAGUCUUUGCACAUAUAGCAUUGAAGAAGAAGCACAAACGAGUUAUUGCAUACCUUGCAGGCUUCUCCAAAACAGAACGAAUUGCCACAUGGAGCAAUUGUUGCAUUAAGGUAUGACAAUCAUGUGAUUUAAGGCCAAGAAGUCUUGAAUUUUGUAAAGAUACAAGAUUUUUAAUAUUUGAAGAAUAACCUUCAGGGACCUUCAUACCAUAGAAAGAAUUGCAAACCUCUCUCUUCUCUGCUCUUGACAAAUUCCAAGGCCCAGGAGGCAAACGAGUACGUCUUUCUCCAUACUCGGGUUGCAAAUCAGUUUUGACCCCCAUGUUCAAUAAAUCUAAUCGAGCAGCAAUCCCAUCUUUAUUUUUUCCAGGGAUCUCCAGCAAUGUACCAAUGAUACUAUCGCAAACAUUCUUCUCAAUGUGCAUAACAUCUAGGGCAUGCCUUACAGGAAGGUAUUUCCAAUACUCGAGAUCAAAGAAUAUUGAUUUCUUCUUCCAACAAACUCUGUCACCAUUUUCAACCAUAUGCAGCACUUCUUCUCCGGUUAAUGGCUCGGGAGGUAUGCCAUAUUCAGGUUUCCCAUUAAAAGCUGCACGUUGCCUCCUAUAUGGAUGAUUGAUCGGUAACCAUUUUCUAUGCCCAAUGUAACAAAUUUUGUGGCCAUUUUUCAACCUGUGACUAGGUGUAUCAUCGCCGCAUAUUGGACAAGCUUUAUAUCCUUUAACAACACAACCAGAUAAGUUUCCAUAGGCGGGAAAAUCAUUAAUUGUCCACAUUAAUGCAGCUCUGAGUGUAAAGUAUUCUCCAUUAUGUGCAUCAUACACUCCUCUAAUCCCAACCCACAAGGAUUUUAAAUCAUCAAUCAAAGGCUCCAAGUAGACGUCUAUAUCAUUUCCGGGUUGUUUAGGACCGGAAAUCAAUAAGGUUAACAUCAUGAACUUUCGUUUCAUGCACAGCCAUGGAGGGAGAUUAUAUGUAACUAAGAUAACCGGCCAACAACUAUAUCUGCUACUUAGAGAACUGUGGGGAUUGAAUCCAUCAGAUGAAAGAGCCAAUCUCAAGUUUCUCGGCUCAUUACCAAACUCAGGCCAUUUAUCAUCAAGAAGUUUCCAAGACGGGGAAUCCGCCGGAUGAGACAUCUGACCGUCAAUUGAUUUUCUAGCAGCAUGCCACCAAGUCAAACUCUUAGCUGUCUCAUGUGAUUGAAACAUCCUUUUAAACCUUGGAAUUGGGGGAAAAUACCACACCACCUUCGCUGGCACACCCUCUUUCAAGAUUGAAUCUUUGCCUUCCUUCCACCUUGAGAUACCACAAGUAGGACAAUUAGUUGAAUCCUCAUACUCCUUCCUAUACAAGAUGCAAUCAUUGGGGCAUGCGUGCAUUUUCUCAUAACUCAGCCCCAAUGCACACAAAGUCUUUUUAGCCUCAUACAUGGAGGUUGGUAUUGUAUUUCCUUCUGGAAGCAAAUCGCCUUGAAGUAUCAAUAAUUCUGUAAAACAGACAUCACUCAUCCCAUGUUUUGCCUUCAAAUUAUACAACUUCACUAAUGCCGAUAACUUCGUGUACUUUCUACAACCAGGGUACACUGGUUGAUCUCCAUCCCCAAUCACAUUGGCAAACUCAUACGGAUCCGAACCAAAAUCACCAAAAUCAUUAUCAUCCAUAUCAAUUUCUUCAGACACAAAACUGUACCUACUAUGGCCAUCAUCUUCUUCAACAUUUCUACUAGCAUUAGUAGUUGCUUCCCAAGGUUCUCCGUGAAAUGUCCAAUUCUUAUAGCUUUGGUCAAUUCCAUUAAAGUAUAAGUGAUCCCUUAUAAUUCCAACCCCAAACAACUUCAAAUUAACACAUUUAACACAUGGACAACGGAUAUGUGUUGUAGUUAGAAGAUUUUCUACAGCAAAGUUCAAAAAUGCUUCCACCCCAAAUUCAUAUGCCUUCGAUCUUCUAUCCGAGUGCAUCCAUGACUUAUCCAUCUCCGACACUAUAACCUAUUAUCUAUAAUAAAGUGAAAAUACAGGCAAUGACCAUCACUAUAGCAGAUUAUACAAUGAUCUAAUCGCAAGUAAUACACAACAGAGACGACGGGUUUUAAACAAAAACAGACGUAUUUGGCAUAUAUAGACGACGGAUUUUCAACAGACGUCGUCUAUUAUAAGUAAUACAAACGACGGUUUAUGAAAAAACCGUCGUGUAUAAGUAAUACAACGACGGUAGUUUAAAAACACCGUCGUGUAAUCGUCGUCGUAAGCCUUAAAAUUCGUCGUGUCUCAGUUUAUUUUCAAGAACACAAAACCCAUUAAGAACACAACAUAUAUAUGAAACCAAGCAAGAAACCAACAUAUACAUGAAACCAAGCAUGAAAACAAUAAAUCCAUUCCCAAUUCAACAUAACAUAGGGUGAUUAAAAGAUACGACAAAAUUAAAUCCAUUCCCAAUUCAACAUAACAGAUAAUGUAAUCCAUGAACCCAUUAAACAGAAAAUCCAUGAACCCAUACCUAUAAGCACAUUAUUAACAGAUCGCAAAGCAUACACAUAAAACCCUUUAACAAAACAACCUAAUAUAACUCGAAUCGUUACUAGAAUCAUCACUCGAAUCCCCAUCUUCAUUAUCAGUUUCUUCCUUCGUAUUUGCUCCCCAUCAUUUUCUCCAUAGCGGAAAAUGACAAGAUCAAAUAAAGGUGUACUUUUGCUGGAAAUCAUUUGGAAGUUGGUGAUCUGUGUCUUUUUGUGUUCAUUUCCAGCAAAAGUACACCUUUAUUUGAUCUUGUCAUGAACCCAUUAAACAGAAAAUCCAUGAACCCAUACCUAUAAGCACAUUAUUAACAGAUCGCAAAGCAUACACAUAAAACCCUUUAACAAAACAACCUAAUAUCAUUCAAUGAAUUUACAAGGGGAAGAUAGGGUUUGUACUUACAGGUUGGACGAGCUCACAGAUUCGACGGAGCCUGGAGAGUGCAACUUUUAAUUAGAGCAGAAGUGAGAGAGCGAAAUGUUAUGUCGCGCGAAAUCUGAAAAUUUUAGGUUUCAGGGUUCGAAGUAUAAGAAUAAGAGCCAAAUCUAAAAAAAUUUAGGUCGCGCGAAAAUUUUUAGAGUUCGCGCGUUUUAAAACGUCGAAAGAAAAACCAAGGCGAAAGUUCUACACGUACCGACGUAAAUUUAAUAUUCCACGACGGAAACUUCAUUUUUCGGAUUAAGAACGUAAGGCCGUUCAUUUUGAAGCUUCAUUUUUCGGAUUAAUUUUAAAUUUAUUUUGAAUUUUUUAUAUAACGACGACUGAAAAACCACGUCGGUGUUAAGAAAUUAAAGACGUUGUAAAUUAUAUAAACCGACUUACAUAUUAAAAUGACGUCGUUUAAAGAGUAACCAUGUCGUAUGUUUUUCUGUACGACGUAAAAUAUGUAUUCCACGACGCAACCACCGUCGUUAAAAAUUAAUACCCUAAACCCAUAAAACUAAAUUAUACAAUUUAAAAAAUUAAGUUUAUAAAAGGUUUUAUGGUUUUAAAGCCUAACAUAUACCCUAGACUACCCAAAAAUUAUACUUUAAAAAUAAACCCCAAUAAAUAACAACCCUAAUCUCUAAACCCUAGACUCUAAACCCUAAACCAUAAAACUAGAAGUGAUUUUAUGACUCAUCAAAACAAUUUUGUUUUGGAUGGUCAUUUUAAAUUUUUGUUAUUCAAAAUGAAUUUUUUCAAGGUUUAUGUGGAAGAAAAUAUAUCAAUGACUUCAUAGGAGUUGACUUUUCAAUUUUCUGAUUUAUUUUAAAUUUAUUUUGAAUAUUUUGAUAUAAAAAUAAUAAAAUAUUCUUACCACAACAACAAACCACGUCGGUGUUAAUAAAUUGUAGACGUUGUAAAUUGUAAUAGACUACUAAGUCGUUAAAAUGACGUCGUUAAAAUGAGAAACCGUGGCGGCUAUUUACCUAUACGACGUAAAAUAUAUAUAUCAACGACUUAACCGCUGUCGUAACAUAAACGUCGUCGAUGAUACCCUGAACCCUUAAGAAAUUGAAGAUGUUGUAUAGCAUAAACGACUCAAUUGUUCAAAGAACGUCGUCUAACUAUAUUUUUACGUCGUAUUUGUUUAAAACACGAAACAACAAAAUACGACGGUUUGUGACUUUAUUAGGUCGUUGGAAAAGUAUUACACGUCGGUUAAGCAAUUUGUAUGUUUGUUUUUUUUUUAAUUUAAGAAAACCUCAACAAAUUUUUACAUUACAUAUUAUAGAGAAAAUUUGUACAUUAUAUAUAAAUAUCAAGUGUUCAAUAAUUGCCCUGUUUAAUAAUUUGGAAAACAAACUCUGCCCAUUCAUUCCGGACUUCAUCAAUGGCUUCUUGGGGGUAUGAAGCUUCCUGGUUUCCCUUGGCAUACUGCAUAAACAAUGACUAUUAGGGUUUAUAAAUAAAAAGAAAUUCAAUCACAGACGACGAUAUUUUUCAUAACCGACGUAGUAUAUCCAUUCAACGACGUUAAUUUUACAUGACCGUCGUUGAUAAUACAAAAAAUGACGUGAAAUGUAUGAAGGUAAUUUCUUCUUACCUUAUUCUCAAACCCCAAGGAAAGAUCCAUGAUGAUGUCCCUCAUGAAGCGCAUCACAUAAUACCCGCAUUCGACAUUGCUGGGUUGCUUUGGUGUGCCUGAGAGAGUUUUCCAAAUUACAUUUUUACGUCCUGCUCGGCCUAUGUGGGUAUUAUAUAUUUUUAAAGCACUGUUCACGAUGUUUUUCGCCUCUUCGUCGACCACACGAUGACCUGGCAGAGGAUCCAGAAAAUAGACGGUCUCCUUCUUUGCUCUUACAAUCAGCAAGAUCCAAUGACGGCUGCACAAAAUUAAUAUAAAAACGACGGUUAUUUACAAAAACGACGUAUUAUAGUAUUUCAUACGACGAAAUAAAGUAGAUAACGACGACAUUAUAUAUUUAUCACGACGACAAAUAAAUACCGACGUGGUUAGUAGUUUCAAACGACUAAAUAAAAUAAAACACCGACGUGGUUAGUUUAUAAGCUGUCAUUUAUUGAAAAUCAUAAAAACAAAAUCCUAAGGAGACUAACCCUGGAUUGUAAGGCAUCAUGAAAAGCUGUUCACCGUCUGUCUUCUGAAGUCGAGCUGCUACCAGUCGUGAUCUUUCAGUUAUUGUGCCAGAGUUGGCACUAACUGUAGCAGGGUCAAUAAAGCCAACCAUGCUGCACAUAUUGGCUUGUUUCAAAACAUCGUGUAAGUACCUAAAUACAUAAAAUAAUAUAAACAAGUCAGCAAAAACAAACACGACGGUUAUGUAUAAAAAAACGACAUAUUAUAAUAUUUCACACGACGUACUGAAAUAGAUAAGGACGUUAUAAUAUAUUUAUCACGACGGUAGUUAGUUAAGACGACGUGGUUAGUUAGUUAAGACGACGCAAUAUAUAAACCAACGAGUUAUUAUCUUAGAAAUACAAACCUCAUAUAUACAGCCAAUACAGUAGCUCCAAUUUCUUCCAUGCCUGCAAAUUGUGUAAUAUCUUCAGGCAGGAGGAAGGUAUCGCGCUCACCACCAAACACCUCCUUAUCAAUUGUAAAUUGGAGUGUCUUAUCCUCAGGCAGGAGUGUCGUUUCCACAAAACGACAAAGGGUUUUUAAAGAAGAUGGCGCCUCCAUAUUUGAAUAAGCACCAACUUCAAUAACCUGUUUAAAGAAAUAAAAAAAAUGACGUGGUAAUUCAAUAAAGACGACGGUUUAAGGAAUAAAACGUCGUCUUAAAAGGAUUUAAACGACGGUGAAAAAACUGUCGUGGUAAUUCAAUAAAGACGACGGUUUUAUUAAUAAAGCGUCGUCUGAAACCAUUUAAACGACGGUGCAAAAACCGUCGUUUAAAUAUUUUAUUACGUCUUAAAAAAAGUCCGCCGUCUAAGUUUUAAACAAACGACGGAUUAAAUAAAAGGGAGACUUUGGAAAAGCCCAAAGGAGAGAGAAAAAUUUUAAAAGAAGUCGAAAUGGACAAAAUUGCCCUUAUUUAUUUUUUGAUUUCCUAAGGAAUCCUUUACAUUUGCAUGUCUUUGGUUUGAAAGUUGAGAGAUUUUUCUGUCUUUUUUGAAAAAGCUUUGGCUUUUUCCAAAAGUGAAAGUUUUUUUAUGGGUAAAACCUAAAUUUACUUAAAUAAAAAUAUCGACGUCUGAAAUUUUGAAAAACAAAUAAAAAAGGCAAAGUUAUGUGAACAUACCUUGUCGUCAUGCUUUUCUUCAUCUUCUUUCUCCUUUUCUUCUUCCUUCUCUUCAUCUCUUUUUUCUUCUUCCUUCUCUUCAUCUGGCUGAUGUUUCCCCAUUUUGGCAGUAUCAUCCUCCAAAUGUAGGGAUCUCACAUCACCUCCAGAGCAGCUAGCUUUGUCAGACAUUGGAUUUUUGGGGCUUUGGCUAAUUCUUGGUUUAAGCAUGCUUGGAUCAAAAUUGGGAAUUAAUUGGGAAAGCUGACUCAGGAAAUGCUCCCUCUCAGCCUCUACCAAUUGUUUUGUCCUAGCCUCCAUCCUUAAGGCCUCUUCCCUUGCCUUAGCCUCCAUCUUUUUAGUCUCUUAUUGAAGGAGAACUCUUAAACUGUCCUUCAAACGGUCGUCAAAGCUCACCCUCUGUGGUUUGGGCAAAUUGAAAUAUUGCCUUGGGGAAACACCAGCACCAACUCCCCUCAGUCUGCCUGGAUGCUCGGGGCCCAAAGCCAUGGUCAGCACAUCAUUGCUGCCAUCUACUCUGACUUUGCCUUCCGAGACUUGUUUCUGCAAUUCAUCCUAAAAAAAGAUAAACAAAAAACACACGACGGUUAUUUAUGUACAAACGACGUAUUAUAUAAUUUCACACGACGCAAUAACGUAUAAACCGACGUUAUUAUAACUUAUCACGACGGUAGUUAUACCGACGUGGUUAUUUAUUUAAAACGACGAAAUGAAUAAACAACCGACGUCUUAUGCUAUAAUUAAAGAUAACAGAGUAGUGAUUCCUAUUUAGACCGUUAACGACGUUUUUAAAAAAGUUUCGACGUGGUAAUAUCAUUCACACGACGCGAAAAUGAACCACCGACGUCUUAUGCUGUAAUUACAGAAAACAUAGUAGUGAUUCCUAUUUAGACCUUUAACGACGUUUUUAAAAACUUUUCGACGUGGUAAUAUCAUUCAAACGACGAAAAAUAUAACAUACGACGUAAUAAGAAUAAUUCACAGUUUAAUAAAAAUUUAAAACAGAGUGAUAGUAGGCUUACAAUUAAUUUUGCUUUCUCUGCCACCUUUGGAUCAGGGAUGUUACCAUGUUUGUCCUGUCUAGCUCUCUUCCAUAAGGUAGAUCGAUCAAUUUCUACCCCAGGCAUGGUUUCCUCCAAUUGAUCCUCCAAUCCAGCAUAUCCUUUUCGAGACAAUCGAUGAUUGUACUCGAGUUUCUCCCUAAUCUGUGCAUGUUGAGAAUGCACAGACUCAAAAUCUUUGGAUAGCCUUGAAGCUACAAAGGCAUCCCAUUGUGCUUUCUCUAUGAAUUUAUAUGUUUCAGGGGGUUGGCUUAAUUUCUCCCUGUCAUUGGUGUAUGGAAGGAUAUAAUGCCUCGUUAGUGUAGACUUGAAAUCCUUCCAUUUCUUGGAAGCAGAAGCUAAAACAGAGGUCUUGCCCCCUUGGCCUACGACAAAAGCCAUGUCAACUGCUUCCCAAAUCUGUUCCUUUAUAUCCUUGGGGAUUUGGGACCAUUUCUUGUCCACAAGUGGGAUCCUGGAGCGUGCCAACACACCAAUAUACGACUGCAUCUCAAUAUGUGCUUGGCCAACACCUUUCCCCCUUUUAUUGUACUCAACAAUUGGCCUCAGUUUCUGAAGCUUUCUCUUCACAACACGAGGCAUUGUGCUCAUACCUCGACCAGUCUUUAAAUCAUCAGAGAUUGUUGUCUGGCUGGUUUGUUCUGUCUCAGCAGAUGAUGAAGCAAACUUCAUCUUCUUCGAAGACUUCAUCUCCUUCGAAGACUUGUCUUGAGGAGCUACCAUUCCAAGCUUCUUGGAGCCAGAAUCCUUAGUUUGUUGUUGAGAAACCAUUUUAACAGACAAAACUGCAAGUGAAAAUAUUUCAGGAAAACAUUAAGAACACAAACGACGGUAUUAAAAAAAUACGACGUAUGAUAUGAUUUUAGACGACGCAAUGAAAUAAUCUCAGACGUAAUAAAUGUUUAAAACCAUUAUUUAUAUAACGUCGUGGUAUAUAUGUUCACACGACGUCAAUAGUAAUACACCGUCGUGGUAAACUAUUAUUUAUAUAACGUCGUGGUAUUUAUGUUCAUACGACGUCAAUAGUAAUACACCGUCGUGGUAUUAACAUUCACACGACGUAAAACAAUAAGAUAUUUUGUCGUCUAUAUUAGAUACCAACCCUAGUUUCUUUUUCUUUAUAUUUUAUCAAAUAAGGGAAAAACAAAAACCAUUGUUCAGAGAAAUCAAACCUGCAAUUAAACAAGCAUAUAAAAAAAGACUAUUAUUUUAAAAACAACUUUGUCAAUUUUCAGACGACGCUAGAACAACUGACGAACCGUCGUGGUCUACCGUCGUCUUAUUUAGUUGAUGUAGUUGUCUUCAAAGUUGGAAACUUUCCCUCUUUGUCUGUAUAUUUUAUCAAACUUGGAAAGAAGUAAAAUGAUUUUGGCCAGAAAAAAGGUCAAAAGAUUUUUCAAACAAAAAACGUAUGAGCAUGCAAAACAGUAACCAAAAUAGUGAAAAUGAAAGCUUACCUUUUGCGUGCAAUGAAAGCAAGAGGAAGAUGAUCGAUGUUUAAGUUCAGAGACGACGAAGAAGACGAGAGGAAGACGAUGAGAAACUCUGACAAUGCUCUGACAAGGAAAAAAGACGAAAAGGUUUCUCUGGGAGAUUGAAAUUUUUAAUCGGGUUUGGAAACAGUGCAUGUGUAAGUCGAAAAGUUGCUUACAUAUAAAACCAUUUCAAAGAAAUAAUACGGCGGUUACAUUUAACUACGUCGUUUUUAACUAACACGACGCAAUAUUUUUCGUUCGACGUGGAAUCAUUUCAUUUAACGUCGUUAGGUUUAAUAUAACCGACGUGGAUUUUAAUUUUUAAAUUAUGAAUAGAAUUUUUUUUCCCGUGACCUUUCAGUUUAUUUUUCAAUUACAGUGCGUUAUAAAUAAAGUUUUUUUUCCGGAGGAAAUUUAAAACGAAGGAAAUUAAUAUUCUGCAAUAUAUAAAGUUUCUUUUUUGGAUGACAGAUUUAAAUAAAAUAAGAAUAUAAAAACAACUAAUGUGUAAGUCAAGUAGACGAAAAGUUGCUUACAUAUAAAACCAUUUCAAAAAAAUAAUACGGCGGUUACAUAUAACUACGACGUAUAAAUUACAAAAUACGACGGUACAUUUAACUUCGGACGUGGUAAAUAAAUACGACAGUAGUUUGUAGGUACCGUCGUAGUAAACUCAAAAAUUAAAGUACAUAAGUAAUAACUCGCGUCAUGGUAGAUUAUUUAACACGUCGUUUUUAUUAAUUUACCGACGUGGAUUCCUGUAAUAUACGUCUAUCAUACCGACGUUGAUUUUACAAUUUAAACGGCAUUUUUUUUGUAAGGACCGCCGUUGGUUUUAAAAAUUUAUUCUAUAAAUUUGUCGCUUUCAUUCAUUUUCGGUUUACAUUUAAGGUUCCAAGUUCUUCCUCUCUUACUCGCAUCAAAUAUAUGUCCACAAGAAGAAGCUUGUCAACUAGCCUUCUCACUUCCUUGAUCAAGCCUGAUAGGACACUUAGUGCUUCUGAAUACUCCUUGCUUUCCAUCAAAAGAGAUGCAAGCCUGGCCUCCACUCGCUGUCGAAGGAAAGUUCGCUUCUCAGGGAAAUCUGAAGAUCAGAUGUGCCUGAUCCUUUGCUUAAUUUUCUUGCCUAAGAAGAUCCGUCGGAUUUGUGAUAGCCUCUUCCUUUAUCCGUAGAGCUUCAGAAGAAGAAGAUGGGUUUCAAGAAUGCGAUAAAGAAUAGAAAUGGCUUCAGAUGGCCUCUAAAGCAUGAGCAAUUGAAUCAGUAGUUUCUGGGAGAUAUGAUGAAGACAUUGUCAAUGCUUUGAACUACACAAGUCCUGCAGAAAGAUAUGUUAAAGAAACUGAAACAACGGCGGUUUUCUGUUCUACCGUCGUCUUUUAUCGUCGUCUAUAUUAAGUUAAGAUGGCGGUAGAUUUAUAAUUACCGACGUAGAUUAUUUUGUUAAACGUCGUUAAGUGUACUACAACCGACGUGGAUUUUAAUUUUAAAUUAUAAAUAGAGUUUUUUUUCCCGUAUUCUUUCAGUUUUAGUUUUCAAUUCCAAAGCGUGAUAAAUAGAUUUUUCUUUCCCGAGGAAAUUUAAAAUGAGGGAAAUUAAUGUUCUAGAAUUUGUAAACUAACACGACGCAAUAUUUGCAAAUCUGUGUCAUCUGUUAAGAUUAUGAUGUGGAACAGAGUUCCAUCUGGUAAGAUUUCGUAACCCUUGGGAUCUCAGACAAAUCUGAUUAUGUCGGCGGUGUUCUAUAUAAACCGUCGUGGUUAUUUCAAUUCUUGUCAUUAAGUAGAUCUACCGACGUAGGAUAAGAAAAUCAAAGAAAAAAAUUGUUAACAAAAAUUCUUAUUAAGACGACCGUUAAAAUUAAAGGUACGACGUAUAAAAUGAAUAAAUACGACGAUAAAAUUUAUUGUACGAUUUAAAGAUAACGUCGUAGAACUAUACGAGAAUGACGUCGUUAUAUUUAUAUUUUCCGUCGUUGUAAAUUAAUUUAAUACGGCGAUAUUUUGUAUUUUAAAGCCGUGGAUUUGUUUGUAAUUAUACGGCGUCUUAUACGAAAACCUCGUCGUGUUAUUUUAUGAGUAAAAACGGCAGUUUUUAUUGAAAUCGUCGUCUUUACUUUCUACGUCGGUCGAUUCAUAACUUCUGCCGUUCUUUGUUGGCAUUGAUUUUACACUGCGGAAAUCUGUUUCAAAUAGACGUCGGUUGUUUAAUUAUGUACGUCGUUGUUUUUGAACAGCCAUUUAAAACUCCAUUUUUAGUUGUCUAAGGUUGUAUUACACGACGGUGUUUUUAGAACCGUCGUCUUUUUAUAAACCACGACGGUUUUCACUUAGACCGUCGUUGUUUUCUGGUCGUCUUUUUCACUUUUUGUAGUAGUGUAAAUGGUGAGGUUAGGUGGUGCAAUAUAUUAGAAUUACGGUUCAUCAAAAGGUUAAAUUUGCUUCCAUUAUUAAGAACAGAAUAAAUAUAAAAUUACUUUGGUUUCUCAAACGGAUUUUCCUUUCACAGAGAAUAACGCAUAGCUUGGCACCACCCCUCAGAAGACACAAUCAAAUAAUAAAAACAGAUUUGUAUUUCACCUAAGCAACUCAUGAUUUUGGCACAAAGAUAAAUUAUCCAGUACAAAUUUCCUUUAUUUGUUUUUUCACAUGUAUCCAUACUCCUUUUCAGUAACCAAUGCAGUGAUGCAAACCUUCCUUGCAAUUUGUGCGCCUACAAUAGGAAAAAUGGAAAAAAUUAGACCCAAGAGAAAUCGUAAAAUUGCACAAUCUACAAAUUUGAACAGCAAGAAAGAAAAAAACAGUACUUAGAAUGAACUACAACAACCAAAUAAUGAGAGAACCUCAAAAUACAACGAAUCAAAUUCUAUAAUGACAAUUACCCAAAUUGAAGUAAAUAAUUAAAGUUUCAGAAUUCUAAUAGUGCAACUAAAAAAGAAAAUUAUCGCUUUUCUUUUAUUUAAAACAAAAACAUUACAAUCAUGAAGCAUGAAACUUAAACUGAAUACAGAACAGGAAAGAAAAAAAUUGCAACCAAAUGUUCCUAUUAUAGGAAAAGGGACUAAUAUAGGAGUUCAAUUGGGAAAAUGGAAAUAUUAGAAGCCUUUAAGGCUUUUUAUACAAAGAGAAAAAGAUAUCACACAAAAACAUUAACAAAUUUCAUACGGCAACUCUGUACUUAAACUAACUCUUUACCCAAAAAAGGAAAAGAAAAGAAAAAGUAGAGCUAUACUAAUUAUUUCUCCGCUAAAAAGACAAUCAUCUGCUAUUUCGUGGAAUUUGCAUGUUUGUCUGCUAAACAUGUUUUGUUCUUACAACCUGUUGUGUGUAAUCUAACUGCUGGUUGCCUGUGAAGAUCCUUUAACUUCGUCAACAAUUUCCUCCUGGUUGUGUCCUCCUCCUUUACAAAUAAUAGUAAUGUAUAUACCUUAAAUGCUUCACAGCUUUAUCUCUUAAUUGUUCCCCUCUGAAAUUUUUUGACUUCAUCCAUUAUGCACAACAAAACAGAAUAGAUAGUUUAAAGAACAAAACUAAUAUCAACUAUUGAAAACAGGAAUAGUGGCUGAAUUUAUGUUCUAUUGCCAAAUCACAUACCAAAUGUAUGCUUCGUAAUAAACCAAAAUGAAGCUAUUGAUCUGGCAAACAGAUAAAUAAGUUUAAACAAACAAACAAAGGCAUAGUCACCCAAAGACUCAAUCUUUGGGUUCAAAUACUAAAACAAUUUAUUCAACAUAUAAAGAUGAUAUAACUUGGAUUAAAUAUCAUCCAAUUUGUUUCUUUCUUAUAAGAUCUGCAUUAGAAGGUCAGAGCGUUUUCAGUCAAAAGAAAAGGGAAUUUCACAGAAAGUUGAAAUAGAAGUAACUCAAAGAAAGCAUUUUCUUCACCUAACUGCUUCUAACCCUUCAACUCCUCUGCCAAAAGAAUCCCCUGAGAAAACAAAAGAAGAACAAAAAUCAAAGCCUAAUCUGGACACAACUCUAAAUAAAUGAAUUAAUGAGAAAAGCAGAGAUGAAGAGGAGAGCAUCGCAAAACUGGAAGCAACUAAAAUGAACUGCUGAUUAUGAAUAUAACAAAGCUUCUUGAAGCAGACCCAUCUAAGCUUAUAAUCUGCAGUGGAAAAGAGAAUGAGAAGAAUGCCCAAGCAAGCAUCCAUCCCAGUACUCUUACAUGGAAAAAAAAAAAUUGCAUGAUUCAGAAUUCUGUAACAGAAAUUGACACAUUAAAUCUAACACAAAUAACAUGUUAUCUAAAACUCAAACAAAUUAAUACAACACUCGAAAAGCAAAAAUACCACUCGACAUUCCAAAUGUCAUCUAUGAAUGGCACAUAACUUGUCCCUCUCAAUGUCAGUACACAAUCAAAAACUGGAAGCACCGUGUUAUUUGGAGUGUAACACCAAAAAAGUGGCCUGAAAACGGAGUCUUACUCCGUGGUCAUGAUAUCCAGCUUCUUUCCAGUCGGAUUCUUUGUGUAAAGGACAAUUGCCAUUUCCUGGAUAAGCACUUGAUGUAAUCAGAGAAAUCCAACUCAAAGGUUGCAAAGAUUCAUGACCAAUGAUGCGCGAUAACUGGUAUAAAACUAUGAAUAGCACACAAUAAACAACAGAAAGAAGAAACCUUGAUACAAUUAACAUGACUAUUGCAAAUUCAAAAAGAAAUAAAUGACCAAAACUCUGCUGCACAAUUCUCUCCACUGGCGUAGAGUCUUCUUGAACAGAAAAAAUUGUGCAGCAACUCGUGAGAAACUCACCACCACCAUUGUCUCGAAUGCCCAUAUGGUAGCCAAGAUCAAAAUCAAGAAGUGCAGUACCACCAUUGCAUACCCAACAUGAGUGUGACAUUUCAGCAAACAAAUGGAGAGCAUGUGGUGAUAUGCCAGAUGUAUCAACCCCAAAACCCAAUUGCUUCCAAGCUUCUUGAUCAAGAUUCUUCAAAGACAAAAACCGAGUAAUCUUCUGAAUUGAACCGAUGGAAACAGAAGACAACUAAGCAGGCAAACCUUGCGUGGAUGGUGAUUCCGGAAUCGGCGAUGUCCGAUGACUGUUGCAUCUCGGCGUCGGCAGAGGUGAGACGCCCAGAUUCUGAUUUGGGGACAUAGAUGAGGAUUGUGGAUUUCCAAGAGAGAGAGAUCGAUCGCAGAGAUAAGCAGUCCAGUGCACGCCAGGGCUUCCGCGCGUUCGUUGAAGCUUUUCACUUGUUUUCUCAGUCACGUGUAUAUCACGUGAUAUUUAAUAACAAAGGGCUCAACAAGUCUUCAGGUCAUUCAAUCUCAGCCCUUCAUUUUUACGAUGCAAUACUGACCCUUGGAUAACUGACUGCAGAAUUUUCCAGAUUGUUUGGCCCACCUUCUAUUAACCAUUGAAAAAACAAUUAUAACUUUUUUGUUUAUAAACCUGACCUAAAUUAGUUGGUUUUCCUUUUUAUUGAUCAGAUCUAAGAGCAUGUACAGCGCUGAGGGGUUGGCCCAGGCAAAAGGCAAAAAUCAGCCCAAGUCCAGCUCCAGCGCGUGCAAAGCAGCCCGGGCAAGGUAGUAGGCACCAGAGUAUACAGUAUUGUUGAUUUGGUAUGUGACCUGAGGGGAAUGACCUCGCAAUACCUCGUCGAACACCGGGGAUUGACCAAGGACAUUGAGGUCAUUCUGAGAUCCGGCAACCCCAAAAAAGGCAUGCCAAACCCAAGUGUCGAAUGAAGCUACGGCCUCCAAAAUGAUACUUUUUUGGCCCUUCCGAUUCCCAUACUCUCCUUGCCACGCAGUAGGACAAUUCUUCCACUGCCAAUGCAUGCAAUCGAUGUUUCCGAUCAUUCCUGGGAAACCUCGAGCCUCGCCUUUUUGUAGAAGCCUUUGCAGGUCCCUCGGAGUGGGUUUGCGAAGGUACUCCCUCGUGUACAAAUUUUCCACUGCAUCACAGAAUCUCACCAAGCACUCUAGGAUAGUAGAUUUUCCCAUCCUUGCAAUCUCAUCCACCUGCUCUGCAGAUGCCCCAUAAGCAAGCAUCCGCAAUGUAGCUGUAAGUUUUUGCUUCGGGAUAAGACCCAAAACUCCAACAGCAUCAUGCUUUUGAAUGAAGUAUGUGUCGUAAUUACAAAUAUCAUGCAUGAUUUUUUGGAACAAAUGUGGCUGCAUUCUAUAUCUCUCUCGAAACUUAUGAGCAGGAUAUAACGAAUUUGGGAUAAAGUAAUCCUCCAAGAGAUUCUUACCCCGAGACUCUCUGUGUCUGUCCACAUUCGGGGCACGACGACGAUGAUGUUGGCUUGAUUGAUUCAUCAUACACACCGCCGCUACUUCAAGCAUUUCUUCCUCUUCUUCAUCGGCGUCCUGAUCUUCUUCCUCACGUCUACGCCGGAUUUCUUCCCAUUCUUUCUGUUGCCUCUCCAACACCCUCCUGAAGUUUGACAUUGAGAGUAUAAUGUGUUUUGUAAAAUCUGAGAAAUGAAGGAAUAUAUCAGAGAUGGUGUGAGAGGAGUGGUGUUGAUGGUGUAGUUAUAUAGAGGGAUUCAGAAGAUAGAGAUGACACGUGGCACAAUUUUAGAGGGUGAAAAUCUUAUCUGAAAUCUGAGAUCACUAUUUGUAAAAAAAUAUCUGAAAAUCUUAUCAGACAUGGGACACGUGGCACAAUUUUAGAGGGUGAAAAUCUUAUCUGAAAUAUGAGAUUAUAAUUUUUUAAAAAUAUCUGAAAAUCUUAUCUGACAUGGGACACGUGGCACAAUUUUAGAGGGUGAAAAUUUUAUCGAAAAUCUGAGAUUAUAAUUUUUAUUAAUGAAUAUCCGAAAAUUUUAUCUGGAAUAAGACACGUGGCAACCGAGAUUCACAUCCGAAAAUUUAAUUACAAAAGAUUAUCAAAAUUAAUGAUUUAAAGUAUAAAAAAAUAGGAAAUAAAGUACAAUGAAUAGUAAUUGCCCUAGACUUGCCCUAGACUUUGCCCUUGUGGGUGGAACCACAAAUGGCAAGGCUGACACUAUUCACGUGAAUAGUGUCAGCCCUUGCUUGCCCUUGCCUUAGACUUUGCCCUAAGGGGUGGAGUUGCUCUAAUCUCUCUCUCUCUGCAGCGACGACAACUCCACGGUGCUUGACUCGCGGCUUAUCCCUUCGACCUUCACCGGCGACUCCAAGGUUUUCUAGCUCAAGAUGAAGGGCAAUUACGAUUGCUAUCUUGCUGAGUUCAAGAUCGAUUGACUCGCGGCUCAUCCCUUCGGCCUUCACCGGCAACUCCAAGGUCUUCUAUGCUGAGGUUCCUUGAUUGGCCUGAAUCUCCAUUACAAACAUUGCCAUCCAUGUACUCAUUCAUGUAGCUAAAGGCUUUAAAGUACGGGGCCGGUCCAAUUGCAGUAAACUUUAAUGAUGACGGGUUCAGGUAAUGUUGCUUCUUCCACAUGAGAACUAUUGUUGGAUAUGCUUUUGCUUGUACCAUUGUUUCAGUUAAAGGAUACUUAUAUAUGUCUCUGUUGGCGAUAUCUUCUAAAAGGAACUUUGUGGAACAUGACUAUGAUACCACUAACUUCUCACGUUUCAUUAGCUCUACUUUUGGAAAUAUGUCUAUAAGCCAAGCCCUGGAUCAAAUUUAUGUAAUUCUUUACAAGCUCAUUAAAUUUUCAUAUUCUCUUCUCCACUUAUAGGAAAUUACUAACAAGGUGCUAAUGUUCUUUAAAUCUGUUCUCCUGUCUAUGUGAAGAGAAACAACCCGUUGAAGUGGAAAAUAAAGAUAAUGGAUGCCAUGGAAAUGGACUUCUCAUGGGAUGCUGAGUGCUGUGACAUAUGGAUCUAGCAAUAGAUAUCUGCAAAAUUUCAGUUUCUAAACCGAAUAGGUAUCUGCAAAAGUUCAAUUUCUGUAUCUAUUGAUUUAUUAAGACUAUAUGGAUCUAACAAUAGAUCCGUUAGGCCAGCUUUGUCAUUAAUGUGGGUUGAAAUGCUCUAUUAUAAGAGUUAAUUAAAAGAAGCCACCACAUUUUUUGUGUAAUAAGCUAAUUUUAGCGCAUAAUAGGUUGAAAGAGGCUUGUUUUACAUCUCUAUAACCUCUAGUGUAGCUUAAUAAAUUAGUUUUCUUUUUGUUAAUAAAUUAGGCUUUUUGUGUUUGUUAGUAGUUAUUUAGAUAUGAUCCCAAAUUACACAAAUUACUGAUUGUAUGCCUAUUUUUCCCUUUUCUUUUCCUUUUAAACUAGACUAAUUACUACUGAAAAGCUAGUUUUUACAUAAUUGCCUGUUCAUUUCUUCUUGAAUUUUUUCAGGUUUGUUGAUGUAGUUCUGACCAUACUUGGGGAACUCUAUUUCCUAUGUGUGGUAUGAACUUGGCAUUCAGCCGUGAACUGAUUGGACCAGCAAUGUACUUUGGACUCAUGGGUAUUGGUGAGCCAAUUGGAAGAUAUGGUGAUAUGUGGGCUGGCUGGUGCAUGAAGGUAAUUUGAAUUGCUUCAUUUUUAUUCCCUGUUUAUGUCUACUGAGAGCUUGUUGGGUCUAUUCUAUAUGAAAUAAACAACUCUUCCAUGGUAUAAAGCUCACUUGCUGUGCAUUUGUCUUGAUUUGAAAUAAGCAACUUAUUAUUAUAAAGCUCAUUUACUAUGCAUUUGUCUUGAUUUGGAAAUGGUUGAUGCCAUCACUGUCAUAUGAUAUUUUGUAAUACCAUUUAAGCUUUAGUUCAGUGAAAUUUUACACAGGUUCUGCGUUGUAGUUUUGCAAAAACUACAUUGUAGUUUUGCACAAACUACAUUGCAUUUUCAGAAAGUGUAUUGCAGUUUUGGCAAUUACAAUUGAAUUUUUGCUCUUUCCUCAGCCUUUAACCUCAUCAAUUUAAAGAGUAGAGGCUAUCUAGAUGAGGGAUUGGGUGGGCAAGAGAAGAGUAGAACUACCGAAGAGCAAGGGAACUCAAAAUUGGACUUUUGGAAACUGCAUUGCAGUUUCAUUUAAUUACAAUUGGAUUUUUGCUCUUUCCUUGGCCUUCAACCUCACCAAUUUGAAGAGUAGAGGCUACCCAGAUGAGGAAUGGGGUGGGCAAGAAGAGGAGAACUACCUAAGAGCAAGGGAACUCAAAAUUGGACUUUUGGAAACUGGAAACUGCAUUGAAGUUUUCAUUUAAUUACAAUUUGAAUUUUGUUCUUUCCUUGCCCUUCAACCUCACCAAGUUGAAGAGUAAAGGCAACCCAUAUGAAGAAUUGGGUGGGCAAGAGGAGUAUAAGUACCCAAGAGUAAGGGAACUCAAAAAUUGGAGUUUCCAUUUAAUUACAACAGUUUUUGUAGUUGUUUUUAUUUUUUUUAUUAUUUAACAUAAUUGAUAUCUACAUUGUAUUUUUGUUGCAGUUUCUGUUUUUAUUUGCAGUUUUUGUGUGAGUAAGUGUUGAAAUGAUUUUUAUUUUAUUUUUAAAAUCGUUGAUUGUUUAUAUAAAUAUUGUAUAACUGAAUAAAUAUUACAAAAUGAAGUUUUGGUGUAGUGGUUUGUGAGUGAGCCUUUCUCCUUUAAGGGUCAAGGUUCGAGUCCAUUCAGUGACACAAUUUUUUUUUUUUAAAGGUGAAUAAAGAGCAACAAAGUUGGUCCCCUGCAGACGGUGGCAGGCGGCGGGAUUCCAGCGGCAAUGGCUGGAGGCCGGAUUCCGGCGGUGGUGUCCACAUAUCCAAUGAGAUAAUCACACAUGACUUAAAAUAAAAUAUAAUGAUAUAUUUUAAAUAGUUUAAAACUUCAAAUCCUUUUUUUUUUUAAAUUAAGUCUUUUUAUAAAUAAAAAAGAUUAAAACAAAAAUACAUGCAACAAUCCCCCCGCUGCGUUCUCCUCCCUCUGCCAACGGGCCCCACCUUUGUAUUGUAGACCGACUCUCUCUCUCUCUCUCUUUCUCUCUCUCAAAUUGUAAACAGCAGAGAAUGGCAAUAUGGGAAUUUACUGAAUAUUGCAUUUUUGUGGAUAGAAAUUUAAAGUGAAUUUUAAAAGAGAAAAACAAACACUACCAUCAAACUUAGUAAAAGCCAAAAUCUGACCAUCAUGUACAUAAGAAGCUCCAUCGAUAUAACAUAACUUACAAACCAAUAUUAGUAUCAACAAGAACAAUUAUAAGAACGACAGGUUUUGUGGACAUAAAUUCGAACUUUUCUUAAUUUUAUGAAAACAUAGUUAUAUAUAUCUUCCUAACAACCUCCACCUCCACAACCGCCACCUCCACAACCGCCACCGCCACCACAAGCUGCACCACCAUCACCAACAAUACCGCCGCCGCCGCCUCCGUAUCUUUUCUUGCUUGAUCCUUCAUCAUCACCACAAGCAAAUAUGACCAUUGAUAUAAGUGUGAGAGACAUAAGAAUCAUGCAGAGCAAAAGUAUCGUCCCCGAGUUGUCUUGCAUGAUGCCUAGUUCCUCUGCGUGGCCACCACCUAGAAAAACAUAUGCUCCUCUA